AGAGUUUGAUUCUGGCUCAGGACGAACGCUGGCGGCGUGCCUAACACAUGCAAGUCGAGCGAGAAAGUCUCAUUCGGGAGGCGAGUAAAGCGGCGAACGGGUGAGUAACACGUGAGCGAUCUGCCCGACGGCGGGGGAUAACCCAGGGAAACUGAGCUAAUACCGCAUACAGCACUGGCUUGGAAGCCGGAUGUGAAAGCUGGCCUCUCGAAGAAGCUGGCACCGUCGGAUGAGCUCGCGGCCUAUCAGCUAGUUGGUGGGGUAACGGCCUACCAAGGCGAUGACGGGUAGCUGGCGUGAGAGCGUGGCCAGCCACACUGGGACUGAGACACGGCCCAGACUCCUACGGGAGGCAGCGGUGGGGAAUAUUGCGCAAUGGGCGAAAGCCUGACGCAGCGACGCCGCGUGGGGGAGGAAGGCCUCAGGGUUGUAAACCCCUGUCAGGUGGGACGAACCACGGAUCGGUCAAUACCCGGUCCGCCUGACGGUACCACCAGAGGAAGCUCCGGCUAACUCCGUGCCUGCAGCCGCGGUAAUACGGAGGGAGCGAGCGUUGUUCGGAAUCACUGGGCGUAAAGGGCGCGUAGGCGGUCGGGUAAGUCGGGUGUGAAAUUCCGGGGCUCAACCCCGCGAACUGCACUCGAUACUGCUCGACUAGAGAGAGGUAGGGGCGAGUGGAAUUCCCGGUGUAGCGGUGGAAUGCGUAGAUAUCGGGAAGAACACCGGUGGCGAAGGCGGCUCGCUGGGCCUUUUCUGACGUUGAAGCGCGAAAGCGUGGGGAGCAAACAGGAUUAGAUACCCUGGUAGUCCACGCCGUAAACGAUGGGUACUAGGUGUUGGGUGGAUUGACCCUCUCAGUGCCGACGCUAACGCAUUAAGUACCCCGCCUGGGGAGUACGGCCGCAAGGCUGAAACUCAAAUGAAUUGACGG
rnacentral:rRNA from 1 species